UCACACAGCAGUGUUGGAGGCAGGAUCUGAGCCCUGUUCUUGCUGAAAUAAAAGUUCAUGGUCAGUCAGCAUCACUUCAUGCUGGAUCAACAGGGCUUAUAGAAGACCACAGUCUCCCAGCAAAAUGUUGCCCACAGCACAGGCUGAGGAAUGGACAGACUGGUGGGCAAGGUACAACGGACGAACUCAGCAGGAGCGUUGGAGACAACACAGCAAGAAGGCAGCAGUCUGCACACCAGGAGGAGAGUCCUCACCAGAACCCGGCUCUGCCACACCCUGAUCCUGGACUUUCAGCCUCCAGAGCUGUGAGAAA